GAUAUCUACUAAUUAGGUUAGGCAGUAUUCUUCUGAGUUAUUGGGGUUGGUGGGUACCGUCUCGGUGAUGCGUUGGUGUCUGGCCGAGAUAAGGUCUUCAGCUAACUGGGCAUGUUCUACUCGGCGUACGAGCUAAGUCUCAGCAUUGCUACCUAGUUGUAGAUAUCGACACAAAGGCCCUUCAAAAACUUCUUAACUUUGUGACUCUCAAGAGUGACCAUUAACAGGGCGGACCUAGACAACUGAAUAAAUCAAACUGCAUA
rnacentral:lncRNA from 1 species